GGCGAGAUGGCCGAGUGGUCUAAGGCGCUGUGUUCAGGUGUUCAUUUGUUGACAUCCGCAGUCUUCGGACGUGGGUUCGAAUCCCACUCUCGUCA
rfam:Trichosporon oleaginosus strain IBC0246 unplaced genomic scaffold CC85scaffold_26, whole genome shotgun sequence.